GCCAGACUCCUACGGGAGGCAGCAGUGGGGAAUAUUGCACAAUGGGCGCAAGCCUGAUGCAGCCAUGCCGCGUGUAUGAAGAAGGCCUUCGGGUUGUAAAGUACUUUCAGCGGGGAGGAAGGCGAUAAGGUUAAUAACCUUGUUGAUUGACGUUACCCGCAGAAGAAGCACCGGCUAACUCCGUGCCAGCAGCCGCGGUAAUACGGAGGGUGCAAGCGUUAAUCGGAAUUACUGGGCGUAAAGCGCACGCAGGCUGUCUGUCAAGUCGGAUGUGAAAUCCCCGGGCUCAACCUGGGAACUGCAUUCGAAACUGGCAGGCUGGAGUCUUGUAGAGGGGGGUAGUACUCCAGGUGUAGCUGUGAAAUGCGUAGAGAUCUGGAGGCAUACCGGUGGCGAAGGCGGCCCCCUGGACAAAGACUGACGCUCAGGUGCGAAAGCGUGGGGCGCAAACAGUAUUAGAUACCCCGGUAA
rnacentral:rRNA from 1 species